AUUCCCAAAUUAUCUACCAGUUUUUUUGCUAUUUGUUCAUUUGUCACAUCCUAGUGCUGCCUAAAAUGAUUGACAGCAAUAGCAACAAAGGGUUAACAAAAUUUUGUAGGAUUAAAAAUUUAAAAUUAAACAAAAUGUAUCCUUUAUUUUUAUUCAAAUGAAAGAAUACCUUGGUCCAGCUCUAGAACACUAGUAUUUUGGGAGGAUAGUUUGAGGACAGAUCACCUAGAGCAACUUCUGUUUUAUAGAUGACAAACCCAAGACCAGAGAGAUUAUAUGAAUCACUUCAAGUCACACAGCAAGUAAAAUGCAAUAUCAGAAUCAGAGCCUGAGACCUCUAGUACUCUUACCCUUACACCACACUCUAGCUGUGGGAUUGAUCAUGGUAAAGGAAUUAGGAGUUAGCAAGAGAUUCCCACUCUUUCCACCAUCUUGGAGCCUGUGGAGGUCUGCUGGGAACAAGACUUCUAAAAGGCAAAUAUGUCUGGAAGGCUGUGGUUGAAGGCCAUUUUUGAUGGCUAUAAGCACGGUCCCCGGAACCAAAGAGAGCACACAGCUCUUCUUAAAAUUGAAGGUAUUUAUGCCCAAGACGAAACUGAAUUCUAUUUGGGCAAGAGAUGUGCUUAUGUAUACAAAGCAAAGAACAACACAGUGACUCCUGGUGGCAAACCAAACAAAACCAGAGUAAUCUGGGGAAAGGUAACUCGGGCCCACAGAAACAGUGGCAUGGUUCAUGCCAAAUUCCGAAGCAACCUUCCUGCUAAGGCCAUUGGACACAGAAUCCGUGUGAUGCUGUACCCCUCAAGGAUUUAAACUGAUGAAAAGUAAAUAAAUAAAAGUAGAUUUGUAAAAAAAAAAAAAA